GGGGAAUAUUGGACAAUGGGCGCAAGCCUGAUCCAGCCAUGCCGCGUGUGUGAAGAAGGCCUUUUGGUUGUAAAGCACUUUAAGCGAGGAGGAGGCUACUGGUAUUAAUACUACCGGAUAGUGGACGUUACUCGCAGAAUAAGCACCGGCUAACUCUGUGCCAGCAGCCGCGGUAAUACAGAGGGUGCGAGCGUUAAUCGGAUUUACUGGGCGUAAAGCGUGCGUAGGUGGCCAAUUAAGUCAAAUGUGAAAUCCCCGAGCUUAACUUGGGAAUUGCAUUCGAUACUGGUUGGCUAGAGUAUGGGAGAGGAUGGUAGAAUUCCAGGUGUAGCGGUGAAAUGCGUAGAGAUCUGGAGGAAUACCGAUGGCGAAGGCAGCCAUCUGGCCUAAUACUGACACUGAGGUACGAAAGCAUGGGGAGCAAAC
rnacentral:rRNA from 1 species